CCAGAGGCUGAAGUGAAGUUAUAAAGCUAUACCCUAUGCAUCUGAUUAGUUGCAGAACGCAACCAAUCAGAGAUUGAAGUUACAAAGUUAUACUCCUAUGUAAAUAAAGUCUUGACCUGUGAACAGCUUCAUUGGCUGUGGGAGGGGACCAGUCAGAGGUACUGAGAGUUUCUUAUCUGCCACGUGGAAAAAGGGGGGUUGCAAAGGGAGUAGCUUCUGGUCCUUUUGUUACUUGGAUGUGGAAAGUUGGGGUUUUCCUUUUGAUUUAGUUCUAGGAAGUCGGCGUGAAUCGGCUUUGGGUUUACUGCCUCAGAAUGGUCUCAGUUUUGAUCAGCUGAGUCAAACGAAAAUUAGGUCCUGAGACUAAUGCAGUCAUCUGCAGCUGGAUCCAGUUUAGGAAGCAGGUUGAGUGAUUAAAGGACCAGAAAGUCUGAUCUAAUUAUAUUCUAGGACUGAUUUCUUCUAUGUAGAGUAAAAAUACCGGGGUAUGUUCCAGACCUGUUCAAAGCACUGAAAUGUCCUUUAGUGAGUGACCUCACAGUACCUUCUGAGGGGUGUUUAUUAUUCCUAUCUCACAGCUGAGCGGGCUGAGGCACAGAGAAACUGACCUGCCUAAGCCACGUAGCUCUGUUGAUUCUUGGCCUGAUAUUCCCCCAACUUACUACAACCAACAAGAAUUACAGUAGAUCGCCAUUGCUCUGCCAUGGGUAAGACCUCAUUGAUGGGGACACGAUCAGUUCUUCGUGAACCAUUACUAUUGAAGCCACCAUUCAUUGUUUCCAGCAGGUUUUCAAAAAGGUAUAAUAAGGUUUUAUGCAAAGAAAUCGGUUUUCAUUGUGAGAUCUACCCAAGCUACCUCAUUUUGGGACUCCAAAGAAGAGUAGAUAUUAAAAACUUACAAAGCAGAACAGUUGCCCGGAAAAAAUGCUCUAUGAAGAGGCCGCUGGCUCACCCCGCGGGAAUGAGGUGGCACUUCAGGACAUGAAGCUUGGAGCUGGUGGCAGAUUUCUUGGAACUGGCGGUGGGGAGAUCUAAAUUAAGAGCUUUCUAUCACACCAAAUAAACAGAAACUGAAAUAGAA